AAGUAUAGGAGGUCCAGCCUGCCCAGUGACUACAAGUUCAACGGCCGCGGUAUUUUGACCGUGCAAAGGUAGCGCAAUCACUUGUCUUUUAAAUAGAGACCUGUAUGAAUGGCUAAACGAGGGCUUAACUGUCUCCCCUUUCCAGUCAGUGAAAUUGAUCUACCCGUGCAGAAGCGGGUAUAAUAAUACAAGACGAGAAGACCCUUUGGAGCUUAAGGUACAAAACUCAACCACGUUGAGCAACUCAAUAAAAAGUGAAAACUUUGUGGAAUAUGAGAUUUUACCUUCGGUUGGGGCGACCACGGAGGAAAAAGAAGCCUCCAGGUGGACCGGGAGAAUUUCCUAAAACUAAGAGAGACAUCUCUAAGCCACAGAACAUCUGACCAAAUAUGAUCCGGCUAAUACAAGCCGAUCAACGAACCAAGUUACCCUAGGGAUAACAGCGCAAUCCUCUCCCAGAGUCCAUAUCGACGAGGGGGUUUACGACCUCGAUGUUGGAUCAGGACAUCCUAAUGGUGCAGCCGCUAUUAAGGGUUCGUUUGUUCAACGA
rnacentral:rRNA from 1 species